GAGAAAAAUACAUUUACUUCCUGUAAAACUAAAUAUUCAAGCGUUGUUUUAUGCAUAAAUUAUGGUGGUAUCUCCAAUAACUUUUGCGCGAAAAGAAUUUAGAAGGAAGAAGUGCUUUUUUUGGACCAAACACGACUUGGCUGUAACGCAGCGACCCAGGAGAUUGAGGUUAUGGGCGCCCAAAGCACCAAAGCAAAAUUACUUGGGCAUCUAAGAAAGUGGAUGAACUAACUGUCAAAGAAAGACUCCUGCAGAAGAAUGCUGACCUUUGCAUGGGAAAUUUUCUAAAUGCCAAAAAAGCGGCAACACUAUAAGUGCGCUUUUAAACUUUCGAGUCCUAAAUCUCAAAAUAAAUGAUGUUUCGGCAGCUGUUGUUGACAUCAUUGGUUGAUCUUAGUAGUGUCACAUUUUGUAUUGGUAACACAGUUCUUUUUUCAGGAGUAGGAGACCACACAGCAUUUAGAGGCAAGUUGUUAUUCUUGCGCCAUUCAUUCACUGAGUUAAUAGCUACUUGGAGUUUAAUGCAGUCCUCAAUAGUAUCAAUUCUACAGUAUAAUUUGUUAUCAUCACAGUAUAAUAAUUUGUUAACUUCUAAGUUCCUAGAAAUGGUGUAUUAAUAAAUGAGUUGAAAAGUAGAGGUCCCAAUAUGGAGCCUUGUGGUAGACUUAAAGGAGCGAUUAUUUCAGUUGAGCUGUGUUCAAAGCAUUCAACAUGUUGAGGACGUUUAGUGAGAUAAGAAGAGAUAAGAGAAAUUAAACGAGAUGAAAACCCAAAUUGGUCAGAAAGAUUUGAUAUAAGAAUGGAAUGGUCAAGACGGUCGAAAGCUUUCGAGAAAUCUGUAUAGACUACGUCAACUUGAGAAUUAUCGUUUAUAGAUUCUGAUAAUUUUAAAUUCCGUGAUCGUGUAACUGGCCGAUUUUUUCCAGAGCAGAGGAAAUUUUCUAGUUCCGAGGGCCAAGAUUAAACAAUAUUGUUAGCGGUUUACAAGAAGCAGACGCACAGUCAAAUAUAAGAAAUGCAGGUGUUUUAUCUUUGGGCUUAAUAGUAGAGCCGCAUAGGGCGAAAAAAAGUGGUUCGCGUGCCAAACGGUGAUGAAAGCAAACAAUAUAUAGAGGUUAGUAAGUAUUAACUUACUGAUUACAAACGUCUCUCAUCCCCCAACCCCUAAAAUGUAUUUUUAUUUUAAUUGUUAAUACCUCGGAUAUCAAUAGAGAUAGAAUUAAAAAAAAUUCUCUGUUAUUUUCACAAGUGCGAGGGGCAUAACAAAUGUUAUAUUGACUAAAUCAAUAUCUCGAGAACUAAAUGAGAUAUAUAAAAAUAUCUAAAUCAAAACUGAUGCACGUACUUGAAGAAAUUAUUCCAGAAAGUCAACGUGGUAGUUUUGUAUUCAACAUCAACAUUUAUAAUAUUGUUAUAAUGAUCGCAUGGCAGAACUUCAUCUUUUACAAAAACCUAAAAGCAUGAGGACCUGUUUAAAUUUAGCCAACCAUUUUAUAUCUGUCCUUUGGAAUAAAUAUGGAAAAUAUGACGAAAUACAUUUAGUUUUUGACAGAUACGAUGAUUCUUCUCUCAAACAAAAUACUAGAAAUAAAAGGUAUGAACAGAGCACCAAACAGUUAACUAUUGGAAAGCCUCUUAAUAUAUCAAAUGUUCAAAUCAGAGAUUUGUUGUCAAGCAAUAGAACAAAAAACGAAUUAUCAGAGUAUUUGUCAAAAAAAUGCCUGGACUCAGAUUCGUUCAAGAACAAAAAACGUUUUGCAUCUUGGAACAGAAGCUGCAUGACCAAUAGCAAAAAUAUUGAAGAUCUUGCAUCCAACCAGGAAGAAGCUGAUACCAAAAUCAUUUUACAUGCUACAUAUGCUGCCAAUCAUGCUGAAAAAAAAAAGAAGAAAUAUGUAUUACUGUGUGCUCUCCGGGUAUGAAUUUACUACACGAAAUAUGUAUGUAAUAAAAUAUUUAUACAUUUAUUAUAUUGUUUAGACACCGAAGUAUUUAUUUUUCUCUUGAAGUACAACGAAAUCUUUAGUUGCGAACUGUAGCUUCAGACUGGAUUAGGAGCAAAAAAGAGAAAUGUUGAUAUAAACAAGAUAGGCCAACAGCUCACGUACCUACAGAAAGAGGCUUUACCGAGUUUCAUGCGCUAUCAGGCUGCGAUGUCACAGGAGGGUUUGCAAAAAAAGGCAAACUGAAGUUUUUUAAAGCGUUUCAAGCGGUAGAUGAUCAAAUAUUAGCUUCUUUAAUCGAUCUUGGCAAUACUAAAAUAGAAGUGGAGAAAAUAUCAAAUCAGCUAGAAAAAUUUAUUUGCAUGGUGUACACUGUGUCCCAUUUUGGAUGAGACUGCAGGGUAUCUCUGUCAUUUUUUAAGAUAGAGCUUUGCGGUUUUCGCGACCCUGUAUCACUUUUUUGUAAAACUUUUAAAGCCACAAACAGAAAUAUUCUAACUACUUUUGUUCCUGAAAUACAGGGCGAAAACGAAAAUGUUCACUUUUGGAGAUG